rnacentral:rRNA from 1 species
AGUUCGGAUUGUAGUCUGCAACUCGACUACAUGAAGCUGGAAUCGCUAGUAAUCGCGAAUCAGAAUGCCGCGGUGAAUACGUUCCCGGGUCUUGUACACACCGCCCGUCACACCAUGGGAGUCGAUAACGCCCGAAGUCAGUGACCCAACCUGUAAGGAGGGAGCUGCCGAAGGCGGGAUUGAUAACUGGGGUGAAGUCGUAACAAGGUAAC